rnacentral:rRNA from 1 species
GACGAACGCUGGCGGCGUGCUUAACACAUGCAAGUCGAACGGAAAGGCCUGCUUUCCCUUGUGGAUUGCGGGUACUCGAGUGGCGAACGGGUGAGUAACACGUGAGUGAUCUGCCCCCAACUUGGGUAUAAGCCUGGGAAACUGGGUCUAAUUCUCGAUCGGACUGCAGGGUGGUGCCUGUGGUCGAACACGAUUUUCUAGUGGUUGGGGAUGAGCUCGCGGCCUAUCAGCUUGUUGGUGGGGUAAUGGCCUACCAAGGCGGCGACGGGUAGCCGGCCUGUGAUGGGGGACGGCCGAAUUGAGACUGGGAUACGGCCCAGACGCGUACGGGAGGCAGCAGUGGGGGGUAAUGCGCAGUGAGCGGGAGCCAGAUGCAGCGACGCCGCGUGGGAGAUGACGGCCUUGGAGUGGUAAACUCCUUUCGACCGCGAGGAAGCCACCUAGAUGGAAGGGUGGUGACGGUAGUGGUAGAAGAAGCACCGGCUAACUACGUG